UUUUAUUUAUUAAUUAAUUUUUUUUUUAUUAUAAAUUAUUAAAAAUAAUUAUUAUAUGAUUUGUUUGAGUAUUUUAUAAAGAAAAAAUAAUUUUAAUUAUAGUUAAAUAGUAUUGUGAAAGAAAAUUGAAAUAAUUUGAAAAAUUAAUAUUGUAAAAGAAAAUUUAAUUUAUUGUACCUUGUGUAUCAGGGUUUAUCAAAUAAAAAUUAUUUAUUAUAAUUUUCUCGAUUUUAAAAGAGUUAAUAUAUUAUAAAAGUUAAUGUGACAAAAUUAUUUUGUAUAAUAUAUUAGAAAUGAAAUGUUAUUCGUUUUUAAAGGUAUCUAGUUCUUUAAGAAAUAAAUUUAAUUUAGAAAUUUUAUAUUAUUUAAUUAAGUAUAUUAAUUAAAUAAUUAUUUUAUUUUAAUAUUUUAUGGGAUAAGCUAUAAAAUAAAUUAUUAAAAAUUAUUAAAUAAUUUAAUAAAUAUAAGCUUAGAAAUAGCUAUUAUUAAUAAAAGUGUUAUAAUUUAUUUUAUAAUAUUGAUUAUUUAUUAAAUUUUAAUUAUGUAUUAAAGUAUUUAUUUUAAUUAUAAAAAUAAAAAAAUAAUGAUAAAAUUAGUAUAUUAUUUUGUAUAAAUAUAAUUGAUUGAUAAGUUUUUAUAAAGAACUCGGCAAAAAUAAUGUUCGCCUGUUUAACAAAAACAUGUCUUUUUGAAUUUUUUUUAAAGUCUAACCUGCCCACUGAUAAUUUAAAUGGCCGCAGUAUACUAACUGUGCAAAGGUAGCAUAAUCAUUAGUCUUUUAAUUGAAGGCUGGUAUGAAUGGUUGGACGAAAUAUUAACUGUUUCAUGAAAAUUUAUAAUAGAAUUUUAUUUUUUAGUCAAAAAGCUAAAAUAAAAUUAAAAGACGAGAAGACCCUAUAAAUCUUUAUAUAUAGAUUAUUAGAAUUUUGUAGAUUUUUUUUAUUAUAAUAAUUAAUUGUAUUUUAUUGGGGUGAUAUUAAAAUUUAAUAAACUUUUAAUUUUAAAAAAUCAUUAAUUUAUGAAUAAUUGAUCCGUUAAUAACGAUUAAAAAAAUAAGUUACUUUAGGGAUAACAGCGUAAUUUUUUUGGAGAGUUCAUAUCGAUAAAAAAGAUUGCGACCUCGAUGUUGGAUUAAGAUAUAAUUUUAGGUGUAGCCGCUUAAAUUUUAAGUCUGUUCGACUUUUAAAUUCUUACAUGAUCUGAGUUCAAACCGGCGUAAGCCAGGUUGGUUUCUAUCUUUAAAAAAUUAAAAUAUUUCAGUACGAAAGGACCUAAUAUUUAAUAAAUUAUUAUUUUUAUAUUGAAUAUAAAUAAUUUAA
rnacentral:rRNA from 1 species